rnacentral:rRNA from 1 species
UGGGGAAUUUUGGACAAUGGGCGCAAGCCUGAUCCAGCCAUGCCGCGUGUCUGAAGAAGGCCUUCGGGUUGUAAAGGACUUUUGUCAGGGAAGAAAAGGGCGGGGUUAAUACCCCUGUCUGAUGACGGUACCUGAAGAAUAAGCACCGGCUAACUACGUGCCAGCAGCCGCGGUAAUACGUAGGGUGCGAGCGUUAAUCGGAAUUACUGGGCGUAAAGCGGGCGCAGACGGUUACUUAAGCAGGAUGUGAAAUCCCCGGGGUCAACCUGGGAACUGCGUUCUGAACUGGGUGACUAGAGUGUGUCAGAGGGAGGUAGAAUUCCACGUGUAGCAGUGAAAUGCGUAGAGAUGUGGAGGAAUACCGAUGGCGAAGGCAGCCUCCUGGGAUAACACUGACGUUCAUGCCCGAAAGCGUGGGUAGCAAACA